CGCGGGGUGGAGCAGCGGCAGCUCGCUUGGCUCAUAACCAAGAGGUCCUAGGUUCGAGUCCUAGCCCCGCUACCA
rnacentral:tRNA from 1 species